rnacentral:rRNA from 1 species
AUACGGAGGGUGCAAGCGUUGUCCGGAUUUAUUGGGUUUAAAGGGUGUGUAGGCGGUGUAUUGAGUCAGUGAUGAAAGCCUGCGGCUCAACCGUAGAACUGCCAUUGAUACUGACACACUUGAGUAUGGACGAGGUAGGCGGAAUUUAUGGUGUAGCGGUGAAAUGCAUAGAUACCAUAAAGAACACCGAUAGCGAAGGCAGCUUACUAGGCCAUAACUGACGCUGAGGCACGAAAGCGUGGGGAGCGAACAGGAUGAGAAACCCCAGUAGUCC